rnacentral:lncRNA from 1 species
CACCACUGCAUAUGCCACCUGCACUAUUAGGACAGACCUUGCUCCCCUUGUGAAGAGACCUCCUGUUGAGAUUGUGCAUAUGCGCAUUCAUACCUGAGAAGCAGACUGCGCAUAAACCAAUGGCAGCUAACAUCUUAUAAAGCAGAUGGAAAGGGGUUUAUGGGUUAUACUCCAUAGACAAUUAUAAGCCGCUUCUUGGUCAGGGUGGAGUCAUUCCUACCUAUUUAUUGCAUACAUUUUAAGAUUUGCUGUUGUAGAUGGUGCAGAUAAGGGGCCUACCAUUUAUAAUAUCUGUGCACUGGUGCUCAGGGAUGGAAUGUAGCUUUAGCGGGGACAUUUGCUUCAAUGCAAGAUGAAUACCAGCCCUGUACCAAAAUGCAAGAUUAAAAUUAGUUUCAUUAUACACUGUUGGAUAGAAUGCGUUAAGGAUUUCACUGCUUGCGCACAGGUGUAUAGAAAACAUGUGCUUAUAAUUGACUUCUGCACAUCCAGUUAUUCUUACAUAUUUUUUAAUACAGAAUUUGAGACUCACUGACUAAAACAUUUUAUUCUAAUCCUUGGUAAACCACGAGACUUACAAAGUUUACAUUAUAUCCCAGCAGGUAGAAAGCAGCUUAUUCUGCUCAGACAGUGGAAAAGUUCCAGAUGGAUAUGAGCUUUUAGAGUGAUUAAUGGGACGAAAUAUUUCUCUUAAUAUUUUCACACAAUAAAAGAUCCAUUGGAGUUUACCUUUAAAUCUUGUUGAAAAGACGCUUUGACACAUUAUCUAAAUAAUUGUGUUACACACAUUCAAAUAAUGUCUGGAGACCGAUUAGGAAAAGGACAGGUUUGACAGUAAACCCAAGUACUUAGCAACUGUAAAAGUUAAAUGUUUAUAUAAGGUUUUUUGGGGUUGUGUGUGUAAAUUUUAAUGACACAGAAUAUAAAAAAAGAUGUCCCUUCAGAAGUCUGAAUUAAUGUGAUUUCACAAAUUUCAUUCAAACACAUUAGGGGACAUUUAGUUAUUAUCGUGGAGUAAAGAGAUACUAUAAUAUAAGUGAUGUUUGAACGCUUUAAACAAAUAAUAUUUUAGAAAUAAAUAAAAAAUUUGAACAUUCUGGAAGAAAUCCCCAAGAAUUUCCCAUGAUUCAAAGGACCUUUACAGCAGCCAGGAAGUGGCUCCGCUAGUUUAGACAAUCACAGGGGUAUUCAAUAAUUUGACAAUUGUUAGGAAUUCAAAAGGAAUUGAAAGUGCAUUUCAAAUGAAAGACCAAAGGGAUCUGAACUGGUAGGAAAGUUGACUCAAAUAAUUUUCCAAUAAAGUUGGUAAUUCACUUUAGUAAAUAGUCCUUCUGCAAUUUCUUCAGUUCAAAAGGUAUUUAAAACGUGUUGAGCACACCAGACCCACAUUUGUGCUAGUUUAUGAUGCUUUAUAAGCCAUGCUUCCAAAUAGUUAAAGGAAACCACUCGUACCGUGCAUGCAAACAUUCUAAGGUUUAUUCAUUAAAUACCGAUACAUAAUGAAUUCAAAACAGAAUUGUAAAAUGUUGGCAAAAUAGUUUAUUCAGAAAAACAUCUUAACGCAAGCAUAGUCACAAUGUGGGACGCUAUAGGCACCCAGACCACUUCAACUGAUUGAAGUAGUCUGGGUACAUAUUCCCAGGUCCUUUAACCCUGGAAAGUUAAUUAUUGUUGUUUUUAAUUAACUGCAAUAAUAAUCUUUAUGGGUUAACUCCACCUCUAGUGGCUGUCUACCAUACAGCAACAAGAGGGACUUCCUGGUCGUUAGACUUUUGGUUGCCUAACUGACGCUGGACAUCCUCAUGCAAUGAAUGAUGACAUCCAGCGUCACCUGAAACAACAUAGGAAAGCAUUGUACAGGGUAGCCCAUAAGUCCCUACCCAUCCAGUACACAGAUACACUGGAUAUAUGGAUGGGUAGGGACUUAUGGGCCAUCCUGUACAGUGCUUUCCUAUGGGGCUGUUAUAAUUUGAGUGCAGCCAUUGCCGUGCAUUAGCUCUCCCCCCUCCUGACGUCGGCGAAGGUGGACUCCAAGCCAGCGCUAAGGGGCAUUGGCACUGAAACAAGCUAAGUGAUAGAAGGGAUUUCAACCCCUACUGCACCACCAGGGGGAGCACUAUAGGGAGCGAUAGUGCCAGGAAAACAAAUUUGUUUCCCUUUAAAGGACCACUAUAGGCACCAGGACCACUUCACCUCAAUGAAGUGGUCUAGGUGCCAGGUCCAUCUAGAGUUAACCCUGCCUGCUGUAAACAUAGCAGUUUCAGAGAAACUGCUAUGUUUACAUAUGAGUUAAUCCAGCCUCGAGUGGCUGUCUCAUUGACAGCCGCUAGAGGCGCUUCUGCACUUCUCACUGUGAUUUUCACAGUGAGAUGACGCCAGCAUCCAUAGGAAAGCAUUGAGAAUGCUUUCCUAUGGACUGACUGAAUGCACGCGCAGCUCUUGCCGUGCAUGUGCAUUCAGUCGAUGACGUUGGAGAGUCCCUAGCGCCGAGGGAGCCCGGCGCUAAAGAAAGGUAAGAUUUUAACCCCUUCCUCCCCCUAGAGCCCGGCAGGAGGAGGGCCAUGAGGGUCGGGGGGACCUAUUAACACUAUAGUGCCAGGAAAACAAAUUUGUUUUCCUGGGACUAUAGUGGUCCUUUAAGUUUUGCAGUUUAAUUUUUUUUACUUCACUACAAUACAGUACCUCCCUGGAAAUAUAAGGAAGGGAGGACAUGACUGCUGGCAGGGAUAAGGGGAUACAUUGUGGCACUUGGGGUACGUUAAGAAGGGGAAAAGGGGGAGGGUACUCACCAGUUCCCGGGCAGAGGUGUAGUGUUGCUAGCUUCCCCCAGGGACUGUAAUAAAAUACAAGCAAUAAUAUUAUAUUCUGCAGUAAACUAAAUAAUUUUGCUCAAUUAGCCAUUUCUCCAGUUUCACAUCUUCAAGGAAUACUUAGCUGGGAUCUGAAAAAUGGCAUCGGUGUCCAGAGAAGCUGUGGUAGCCUUGUUACAGGCAUACCUGGAGUCCCCUGGUGCCGGAUCCUUGGACGUGUCGGGGCCAGUGACUCUGGUUAUUCAUGUGGGGGGGGGGGGUAAUGACCUAGGGCGCAGAAGGUCAGUGGACCUCCUGCAUGCCAUUAUGUAUGAUUUGGGGUGUUGUAUGGCCCUCUUCCCCGAUUUGACCCUUAUUUGGUCGGACAUAGUGUCCAGGCCGGACUCGUGGCACUUGGGGUACGUUAAGAGGGGAGAAAAGGGGAGGGUACUCAACAGUUCCCGGGCAGAGGUGUAGUGUUGCUAGCUUCCCGCCUGCCCACCCAAACAUGUUUACGAUGGUGUUGCUGUUGGUUGUGUGCUGUUGUUUUCUCUGUUUUGUCACAGCUCGCGGUAGUCCUGGCUAGCGAAGAGGAUUGGAAGGAAGUGCCCAAGCGGCUUGGGGAGUCGCAGCCUGCUGAGAGCUGAUGGCGGGGGCAGGCUGCUCCAGACUCGUGGGUCAUUUUGAUAGAGCUGUCUGUUGGUAAUCCCCCAACAGCUGACAGGUUGUGGACGCUGGCGAUAAUCUGUUGAUAAUCAAUUAAUAAAGCUGUGGCCGUUGCCCUUACCCAUACAGAAG